AAGGAUGCUUGCUCAUACUUUGAAAGUCUUCAGUAUUGUCUUCAUUGUUUGCAGAUGCUAUAAACAUCUUUAUUUUUUUUAAGAUUUUAUUUAUUUAUUCAUGAGAAAUACAGAGAGAGAGAGAGAGAGAAAGAGGCAGAGACACAGGCCGAGGGAGAAGCAGGCUCCUUGUAAGGAGCCCUAUGUGGAACUCAAUCCUGGAUCCUGGGAUCAAGCCCUGGGCUGAAGGCAGAUGCUCAACUGCUGAGCCACCCAGCCAUCCCUAUAAACAUCUUUAUAACAAGGAAAGAGAGAACUGUAUCACAGCAAAGCCCUGGCAACGUCCGGUUGUACAAUCAGCCACGACAAACGACAGGAGGGGAUCUGAGCGCCCUCUACCCACAAGACACACGACUGGAGAAAAGAGUGCCCGACUGACAAGUCAACGCCCGUCUGUGACUGAUAAAGCUCGGCAGGGAUGUGAGUGACAGGACCUUCCCUGCAACACCACUCAGGCUGUAUGACAGUCUAGAAAGGAGGGGAGCCCUACGACCUCUGCCUUCUGCACAUAUAUGCACCCAGGCACAUCCAUGGAGCUAUUCUCCAUCUACGGAGUCUCCACGAAGAAUCCUCCUCCACCACGGACGACCUGCCCCAACAAAGUGCCAUCCUCAUCCCAAGCGCAUGUUUCUGCUUUUCCCAAACCAUAGCUUGUGAGAUAUUCUAAAGGCUGGUCUUGUUCCUUGCAGGGAACACCCAGGCACUCCAGUCUGUGACUAUAAAAUAAAGUUAAAC
rnacentral:lncRNA from 1 species